GAAAGAAAUGAGAAAUAACUGAAGUAAUGAAAUUACCUCCUGUGUAGUGGCUUUUAAAUAGGCUCUGAAACCUUUCUCCAAAUGUAACUCAAAUAUUGAAUCACGGGGAACUGUUUCCCUCCCCAAAAGGCUAGCUUCUCCAACGUCCGUAAAGUUCAGUGCAUGGCCACUUAGUCCAACUUCCCUCUCACUGCAGACAUCUUUCUGAUGCAGUCAACCACCCUGCACCUCCGUGUGUGUCUCCAGCCUUGUGGUCCUUCAAAGAGCUGAAGGUGUUCAGGAAAACUUACGGGAGGCCAUUGAUUUGGACUAAGCCCCUGCACUAGGCUCCAGCAGAUCAACCCAAAAUGUAGUCACUUGUGCUAAUGUUCACAUCGUCACCAAGUGAAACCUAAGCUGUUCACUCAUAAGAUCUGACUUCUUGAGAAAUCAGGAGAGAGGUAAUAGCCAAAUCCCCAAACAGUGUUCUUCAUAGGAAAUAAUCUGGAGUCCAUUCUCUCUAUCCUGCUUUGUCCUUCCUGAAGUAAGUUCCAGUUUGUCAAUAUCUUAUGCAGAAUGUGGCAUUCAGAAAUAAGGACAAUUCUUCUAGUGAAAUAACUGAUGCUUAUGUAAGUAUAACAAUGUGUUACUGGUGAAAUGAAUCAACAUAGUAAAUUCUGCUAUAAACAUACAAC
rnacentral:lncRNA from 1 species